UGGUGAGGCCCUCAAAGAGGCAAAAGGGGUCCUGGUCUCUGCAGACAUUAACAACACGCCCCCCUGGUGGUGUCAGUGACUGCUGCCCUCCUCCAAAUAUUGUUGCCCGGAAACCACCUACUCAUUGCCAGACUUCUUCUCAGUCACCUUCUGAGGGUCAGGUAAGGAGAGGACCUCGUCAGAGUGCUGCAGACUCCUCCACAGAGACACAUCGAGUUAAGAUGGCGAGGAGGUGAGACCCACGAGAGUUACUCAACUGUGUGGCAAGUGGCACGGAGCAAGCCCUUGGCAGCCAGAUGUGCCGGCACUGACCUGUAUCCCAGCACUCAGAAGCCUCCUGAGGCAGGGCAGGAAAGAGACUAAAGCUGAAUCAGGUGGACUGAAAAUCUGAGGCCAGCUCUGUAUCAAAAACAAACAAACAAACAAACAAACACAAACAAAAAACCUCCCAA
ensembl:antisense